rnacentral:snoRNA from 2 species
AGGCUAUGAUGAGAAAAGUCAUGAACCACUCUGAAGAGACUCAUCUCUUUUUGCUGAUAAACAAACUUUACAACCCAAUGUAAAUCAGAGCUA